GCGCAAAUGCUUAAUGUCUUAAUUAUACGUGAGUAAACUGCAAUAGAAGAAGCAUAAAGAACUAUUUACGUCGUGUAGUUUUUAAUUUAUUUUUUUAUCAGUCGUGUUGUAUCUCUUGUUUGCCGUCAGGUUGUCAUCUGCUUCCUAAAUUUUAUAUAAUACUAAACCAAGAUGACACGACACAUUUUAAUACUUAGCAUUGUUGGCAUGGUGCUAGUUUCUCUUGUAAAUGCACGAUAUAUCCCAGAGGAAGAAUUGAGAUCGAAGCGCCAGACAGGCGAUAUUAAAACAGCUGAAUACCAAGCAUGGUUAGCACUUGGUGGCAUUGUACCACCGGGUUGUGUCGAGGUUGCCUGUGGGGUAGUCGAUGUACACGCCAGUGGCAAGAAAAAACGUAGUGACAUAUCAAGUGACGACAUCAGACGUUCAAUUCUGGCUCAAAAACUGAUCCAAUUUGCAGCAGAGAGACUUGCAAAGACUGAGUAAUCUAAAGAAAUGAUUCAGCGAGAUUCUUCAAUGAAAGUAAACACAUCCUUAAACCAGUCCUCAUCUGAUUGAUUGCCGGCCAGAACUUCUUUCCUAUUUUGACGAACAAACAAAAGAUUAAGAUAUAAAUGGAGAAACAAAAUUAAAUUAAAACAAUAUAUAUAUAUAUAUAUAUAUACAUAUAUACAGAAUAAACAUAAAAAAUUAAAAAAAAACACGAUCUUUAAACAUUAUCAGGGUAACAAUGCUAUGAACCAAAUGGGAAACCGAUAAACUGGUCACUGCCAAAAUGCAUCGCUGACCUUCAACGCAGUUUUAUGGCGUAGUCAAAUAUUAUUUUUUGUUAUAAACCCUUGCAUUGGUUUUCGAACUCAUUGUCUACUUUCUACAACUUCUUCCUCUCUUCCUAUUUCUUUCCAAACUGUUCCUUCUUAUUUCAAUUUUUUUUUAUGAUACCUAAUAUUAUUGUUAUUGAGUGAAUCCCCAUGUUACGGAAAUUGACGUAAGUGCAUCGACACUUGCAACAUGGUUUUAAUUCCUGGAUGCAAUUCUUUCCUUUAACUAUGAUAUUCAUGUCUUUGGAAAAGGCAUGAAUAUCACGACUUCGCCUCCCUUCUUUAAUUUCUGCUCUUACCUAUCAGAUAGAAAUUAUUACUAUUAUAAUUACUCAUGUAUUAUUUUAGUUUCAAUUUAUUUCGAAAAUCCUUCGCUUAGAAAUA
rnacentral:misc_RNA from 1 species